rnacentral:rRNA from 1 species
CCUACGGGUGGCAGCAGUGAGGAAUAUUGGUCAAUGGGCGCGAGCCUGAACCAGCCAAGUCGCGUGAGGGAAGACGGUCCUAUGGAUUGUAAACCUCUUUUGUCGGGGAGCAAAAGACGCCACGCGUGGCGUUCCGAGAGUACCCGAAGAAAAAGCAUCGGCUAACUCCGUGCCAGCAGCCGCGGUAAUACGGAGGAUGCGAGCGUUAUCCGGAUUUAUUGGGGUUAAAGGGUGCGCAGGCGGAAGAUCAAGUCAGCGGGAAAAUUGAGAGGCUCAACCUCGUCGAGCCGUUGAAACUGGUUUUCUUGAGUGGGCGAGAGGUAGGCGGAAUGCGUGGUGUAGCGGUGAAAUGCAUAGAUAUCACGCAGAACUCCGAUUGCGAAGGCAGCAUACCGGCGCUCAACUGACGCUCAUGCACGAAAGUGUGGGUAUCGAACAGGAUUAGAUACCCGUGUAGUC